AGGCUUUCAAGAUUGAUGGAAUCCCCCUAUAUUAGAGAGGUCGGGAAACCGACUAUGGUGCUACACAGGCAUGUGGAAUAAGCGUUACGGACCCGGGGGCAGUACCCGGCGCCUCCACCAAAACCGCCCAGCACAUCACAAACCCGCGUUAUCAGGGUUGUGAGGUUGGCCGGGAUCGAGGGGGCGAAACAGGAUCGACGUGCGUGGUAAAGAUGUGUUUGGUACCCGGCAUGGUACCGCCGUUAUCGGGCCGAAACUAUAGUUGCAAAUGACAACGAUAGUGGGCUUGCCGUCGCCGCUUAACAGCGGUUGGUAGCCAAAUUAAGUCCUCGGCCUUCACACGUCGAGGCGGGGUUCGGGGCGCACCUGGCAACAGAAGCGCCCCACC
rnacentral:tmRNA from 1 species